UUCCGGUUGAUCCUGCCAGACCUGACUGCUAUCGGAUUGAUACUAAGCCAUGCGAGUCAUUGUAGUAAUACAAGGCAGACGGCUCAGUAACGCGUAGUCAACCUAACCUAUGGACGGGAAUAACCUCGGGAAACUGAGUAUAAUGCCCGAUAGAACAUUAUGCCUGGAAUGGUUUAUGUUUCAAAUAAUUUAUUGCCGUAAGAUGGGACUGCGGCCUAUCAGUUUGUUGGUGAGGUAAUGGCCCACCAAGACUAUUACAGGUACGGGCUCUGAGAGGAGUAGCCCGGAGAUGGGUACUGAGACACGGACCCAGGCCCUAUGGGGCGCAGCAGGCGAGCAAAACUUUGCAAUGUGCGAAAGCACGACAAGGUUAAUCCGAGUGGUUUCUGCUAAAGGAACCUUUUGUCAGUCCUAGAAACACUAACGAAUAAGGGGUGGGCAAGUUCUGGUGUCAGCCGCCGCGGUAAAACCAGCACCUCAAGUGGUCAGGAUGAUUAUUGGGCCUAAAGCAUCCGUAGCCUGCUUUGUCAGUUUUCGGUUAAAUCCAUAUGCUCAACGUAUGGGCUGCCGGGAAUACUGCAAAGCUAGGGAGUGGGAGAGGUAGACGGUACUCGGUAGGAAGGGGUAAAAUCCUUUGAUCUAUUGAUGACCACCUGUGGCGAAGGCGGUCUACCAGAACACGUCCGACGGUGAGGGAUGAAAGCUGGGGGAGCAAACCGGAUUAGAUACCCGGGUAGUCCCAGCUGUAAACUAUGCAAACUCGGUGAUGCAUUGGCUUGAUGCCAAUGCAGUGCCGCAGGGAAGCCGUUAAGUUUGCCGCCUGGGAAGUACGUACGCAAGUAUGAAACUUAAAGGAAUUGGCGGGGGAGCACCACAAGGGGUGAAGCCUGCGGUUCAAUUGGAGUCAACGCCGGGAAUC
rnacentral:rRNA from 1 species